CGCGGGGUCGCUCUGGGCAUCUCGGCCGUCGCCGGCCGCGCUCCUCCUCCCGCACCUGGGCACCCCGCGGCGCUGGAAGGGUUAAGGCUGAGCUCUCAGCCCGGGAGCCCCUUGAUCUUGAUUAAUUCAGCCGGCGCGCUCUGCCCCGCCAGGCGGGCGGGGCGCGCUCUCUCGCUAGCGUAGGUGUCUCAGUUUUAAGUGAUUGGAUUUCCCCGGGAAUACUAUUUAAAUUGACUCGCGACCGGGUUUCGCUUACCAUCUUUCUUGUGAUCUUUCUAUUAAAAAUGGAUGAUGGCUAUUAGUGGCCGUGCAGUCCCAUUGCUGCCCUAAGGUUCCGGGGUAGGAACUGCUGGAUAGUUCUGCUGCCAGGUCUCCAAAGCCUUACUCAUCCCAGCUCCACCUUCCCCAGCUGGCAGUGGACUUCCCUCUUCACGGAGCCCUUUAGAACCAUCUCCUGUGGGUGGUGAUUCUCGUCUUCUGCCUCCUGUUUCUGGACUCGGUUUUCUUGCUCCGUUGACCGACUGGUGAUUGAUUGAUUGAAACCAGGACUCCCUGAUCACAGGCUGGCUUCAAACUUACUGUGUGGCCGAAGAUGACCUUGAACUUCUGAUCUUCUGGCUUCCACCUCCCAAGUGGUGGGUUAUAGUCCUGUACCACGAUGCCUGGUUUAUAUGGUGCUGGGGAUGGAACCUGACGUGAGCUGUGCAAGUGCUCUCCCUACUAAUCUAGAACCUCGGUUUCUUUAUUCCAUUCUUUAUUCAUAUCUUGCCACUUAUGUUCAUGUUGUAAGUGAUUCUUUGUGAUAAGAUAGAAUAUAAAUAACACUAAAUUUGUAGGGUUUUCAGAACGUUAUGAAUUUUUACCACCAAAGUCCUUUUAGAAUAUAAUCUCAGUGCAAAAAAAAAAAGACAUUCUUCAUUGUUUUCUCAGCUUGGCAUGUUCUGGAAUGCUCAAGUGUCUUGGUCAUGCACUGUUCAUUUUGUUUCAGAGUCAACUGUAAUAGCCUUUAACAAACCUUCAUGAGGCAUGUAUUCUGUGGUAUGCUAUUCUUGUUUAGAAAAAAAAUGGUUUGUGGUCAAGUCAGUUUGGAAAACGCCCAGUGAACUUAAUUACCUCAUUGUUUUCUAGAACCUUUAUUUUCUUAACCAUUCUCUAAGAGGAGACAAUGCAGGGUAGAAUUUAAGUGGCCAAGAAACACCCCAUUGCCUUCUUCCUCUGUGGUUGUUUUCUUACCUGAAAUUCCAAUACUUUGGGUCUGUGGGUCUCUGGGUCUCUCCGCCACAGGGUAAGGUUGGGAAUGGUUUUUGUUGUUGUUGUUGUUGUUGUUUCAUUUAAGGUUGGUGCUUGUUCAUGAGGUCCAUAAGAAAAGAAGGAAAGGGCUAAUGUUAGUGUCUGAAUGUGAAUUGUCUCCCACAGUCCCAUGGUGUUGACGUGGUCCCCAGUCAGUAGGACUAUUUUGGAGUCUCACUGAAGGACUUGAGACUCUUGACAGUCUCUGAGUUUCACCUUGGCCCUGCUUCCUGCCAGAUCUCAAUUUCCUGGUCCAGGGACAGGGUGUCACACUUGUGCUGUCACAGCUGUGAGCCCCUCCCUCUGCUGUGCUCUCCACUGUGCCAGGGGCUGUACCCUCAAGCUGGGCACCCAAGCAAGCCUCUCCUCCUUUUAAGACGGCUUGUUGUUGGGUAUUGUUAUUCAGCAGCGAGAAAAGUAAUAAACACAAUUGCUCACCAUCAGUUAGGAGUGUUCCUAAGGUGAGGAGUUGUAAAGACAUUUUAAUUAAGAAAAUAGGAUUAUAGGCUGGGCAGUGGUGGCACACCAGCACUUGGGAGACAGAGGCAAGAAGAUCUCUGGUUUAAGGUCAGUCUGGUCUACAGAGUGAGUUCCAGGACUGCUCAGAGAAAUCCUGUCUCUACCCACCCCCCCAAAGGAUUAUAGUAAUAAUAGUCAAUUAUUUGAAGGUAAAUGCACAUUUUAAAUGAGGUACCUUCACUUUUUUUCUAAAAUCUAUUAGUCUAGGCAGUAGAUGUUAGACUUUAAUGUUAGACAGAGCCAGUUAGAUAUGAGUCUAUGGAUAGACUUAGAGGGAUUCACUGAGAAAAUGUUUUGACUGACAUGCUUGGGAAAUAACUACUUUUAGGUACAUUUCUGCAUAUAUAACCUUCAAAUACCAGACACAGUUUUAUUAAGAUUGUCAAGUCUAAUCCAUCAUCAAGUUGUUCAGAAAGACAUUUCACCUUGAUUUCCUUUUUGCUAAAGCAGAAUAAAAAGAUAACACUAAGUGAGCCAUGGA